GACAAAGUGGUGGCCAGAUGCUGAGCAUGGCUGCAGUGUGGUUUGCCGAGCAGUCCCGGCUGUGCCGUCAAAGCGCUCCUCUCUCUGGGUCUGGCAGUGGCCCAGAGGAAGCACACUGUCCUGAGUCGGGAGGGCGCUGCCAACGUUCCAGCAAGGGACUCAGACGGGCAGGCCAUAGCCAGGCGGGCGCAGGCAGAGGGAGCCACGUGCCAGCUUGAGGGGGCCACGCAGAGGCUGCCAAACUUGUGAGGUGUCAAUUAGCAUCAUGUGUCUCUCAUGGGAGAAUGACUACUUAGAAACAUCUAGAUCAGGACCUGGAAGAGAUGACAAAUCAAGACCCUUCUUCUAUUUAUAUAAUUUCCAGCACUUCUUUUUACACAUCAAUUUGUGCUAACUUUUGUCAUUCACAACUGAAUUAUUAUUCAGAGCUUUUAGCAAUAUCAACUUAAAAUCUGGACUGUUAUUUACCCAAUUUGCUAAGUAAAUAUAGUGGCUGAGUAGACGCCAAUUUAG